rnacentral:rRNA from 1 species
GACGAACCGUGCGAACGUUGUUCGGAAUCACUGGGCUUAAAGGGCGCGUAGGCGGGUGACCAAGUCCGGGGUGAAAUCUUUCGGCUUAACCGGAAAAGUGCCUUGGAUACUGGUCGCCUGGAGGGAGGUAGGGGCAUGUGGAACUUCCGGUGGAGCGGUGAAAUGCGUUGAUAUCGGAAGGAACGCCCGUGGCGAAAGCGAGGUCCUGGACGCCUACUGACGCUGAGACGCGAAAGCCAGGGGAGCGAACGGG